rnacentral:misc_RNA from 1 species
AAGUCGUAACAAGGUUUCCGUAGGUGAACCUGCGGAAGGAUCAUUACCACGUUAUCCACGUAUUCACCAAAUGUGCAUUGUUAACUCCUCAAAAGGAAACUUUUGAGCUACUUUUAUUAUUUUUAUAAACUUAUUUCACCAUUAUGAAUUCAAUUUGUAUAUUAAUAUUGCAAGUUGGCUUAUCUUAAUAUAUAUGAUAUUUAUUUAUUAUAUAUAUGUUGUCUAUUGUAACCGAUAGAUGUAAUGUACAACUCUUAGCAAUGGAUAUCUUGGCUCUC